rnacentral:rRNA from 1 species
GGCAGAGGCCUCGAGCGUUAGGCGGAAUCACUGGGCUUAAAGCGUGUGUAGGCGGGCCCGUAAGUGUCUUGUGAAAUCCCACGGCUCAACCGUGGAACUGCUGGGCAUACUGCGGGUCUUGGGCCAACUAGGGGCAGCCGGAACAAGCGGUGGAGCGGUGAAAUGCGUAGAUAUCGCUUGGAACGCCGAAGGUGAAAACAGGCUGCUGGGGUUGCGCCGACGCGUGAGACACGAAAGCCAGGGGAGCAAACGGG